rnacentral:tRNA from 1 species
GCUCCCGUAGUGUAGUCCGGCCAAUCAUUCCGGCCUUUCGAGUCGGUGACUCGGGUUCGAAUCCCGACGGGAGCA